rnacentral:lncRNA from 1 species
GGGGGGGUAUAAAACUUUUGCGGCACGAAUUUUUUUUUCAGUCUCAUGUCUCUGCAGGAAUUUUUUUUAAUGCAUUUAACCUCUGCACGAAUUUUUUUCAAGACUACUUGUACUUUGCUGUUUGCUUGCACGAAUUUUUUUCUCUGACGUAAUGGCUGCACGAAUUUUUUUCCAGGCAUUUUUCUUUGCACGAAUUUUUUGGGGGAAUUUUCACCCCCCCCCCCUCCCGGGAUUUCUAAUGGUCCGCCCCUUACAAGCAGUACAAAGAUUCUGUAUUCUAAUUAGGUUGUUUACGGCCGUUUUCUUACAAGUGAUUGGCUGUAGAAAAAAAUUCCCGACUGUUCGUUGGAAUCGUCGCCUAUUUCAAUUUAUUCUAUAAAAAUACAGCGUAUAAAAGCCAAGACUUAUGAAUUAGGCUAUGUCCUGCAAAAUGAGUCUGAAACUAAAAACUAGACCUAUAGAGUGAAUAAAGCAUGGUUAUAUAAGAACUGUGUUUAACGAAUAGAAACACCAGUUUUUGUUCUAAAGACCAAAAUGAACGCGGUAAAUAUUUAUAGUAUUGCUGUACUUCGUUUUUAUCUCGGUUUUUAUGUUGUUAUUGCGCUAUUUUCUUUUGAUACCAUAUCGAAAACAGGUAAUUUCCCUAUUCACGUAUGUUAUUGAUAGUUAACUGCAUUUAUAGCAUAGAUUUACCUGAACAAUAUUGCUUUUAAAAACAGCGUGAAAGUGAAGAUUGAAUUUAUGUUGGUUGGCUUUGAUAAAGCCUUUAUUGAAGGUGACAAUGCCUGCCGUUGAGGGGCAAGCAUAGCGUAGUCGUAUUUUCACGUCUUUUUGAAAAAUCGCAGCGAGUUGCGAAAAAUUCGAUCACGAUCGAAAUAUUUGUAGCUUGUCGCAGUGAAGUUGCACUGGAAUUGCAUUUAAAUCGCAGGGUGUUUUAUACAUUGCAUGGCGAUGAAAUGUCGCCAUCACGUCGCCAGAAAAAUUCGCACUUAAAAUCGCAGCAAAAAUUGCAAGUGUAAACAGGCUUUUAAAUUGUAAACUUUUAAUUAAAAUAUACUGUAGGUUGAACAAUUUUAGGAAGCUUGAAAGAAUCUCUAUCCGGUGGACUCCUGCAGAUCGUUCCAGUGCGUCUCCAGUAAGUGGGGCCACUUAGUCUUAGAAAACACUAUACAAUCGCAAUGCAGAACAAAGAUAGAGAAAAUUACCAAACGGCGCAUUGGCCAAUCAGCAUUAGGCUAAAAACAAUGUUAACAAAUAAGCGAAUGUCAAACGGUAAAAAUAGUGACUUGAAGUUACUGGCUUCCUGAAGCGAACUCCAUGCUUUCGUUUGAUUGGACGAGCUGUAGUUUGAUUAGAUUUCUAUUCUUGUUCUGCAAUCUGGUUUGUUAGUGUUCUCUAAGUGGCCCCACUUACUGCAGACGCACUGUAAAAUUAUAACAGUAGAAUAGUGAUGUUAAUUCGCAAUCAUAAAUAGUGUUUUUAGCCCGAGUCAGACUCGAGCUUAAAGCAGGUUUUCCACUUGCGAAUUUUUUCGCGCGAAGCGAAUUUUUCAUUUGUCUUUGGUCUCUCAACUGGAACCAUUUAGAACUAAUUGUAUAAAGGCAAAAGAAAAAUUCGCUUCGCGCGAAAAAAUUCGCAAGUGGAAAACCGGCUUAACGAUAAUCUGAUGUCUAGUGAUUGGCGAUUUUCAGUUUAUUGAUAAAUUAUUGUAUCGAUUGGUUAAAUAAUUAAGUGCUUGAUUGUUUAUUUAAUGAUUGAUUAACCGAUUGAUGAUAUUGAUUGUUGUCGGGUUUUUCCUGGAAACUCACGUUUUCCCCGAAUACAUAUACCAUACUGGGACCGGUUGUGUUAGUUACAGGUAACUAUAUGUGGCUUAAAGUGGUAAGGUCUGUUAACUUUUGCGCUAUUAGAGAGGUUAAGAUACCCCGGUUUGCGUGUACGAGUAUCGCCAUUUUGUUUACCAAUUUUUGCUGACGUCAGCAUUUUUACCCGCGGUAAACCAUCAUGGUCUACACGUAAAAGACAAACGGGUACGCGUGUUUUCUGUUUACUAUUUGUGGGCUGUUCAAAAAUUUUUAACAUCUUAGCCAAAUAAAUAGUGCACAUAUGGUCGUCAAAGUGUUCAACAAUUUGUGGCGAACCUGAACAGCGAAAGUUACCAUUCUCUGAUCGGUUUCUCACGUCGGAAUAUCUUGAAUUUCUUAAGUUACAAGUCGUUCCCCGAUUUACGGGUACGCGUACGUGUAUAUCACCCGUACCCGUAAACCGGAACCGGGGUAUCUUAGCCUCUCUAUUGCUUGUUCCCGCAUACCUUAAAGAGGCUGUCAAGUCCGUUCUGCUCAUGCGCGUGUUUUGUUUACAUUUUUGUUUCAAACAAUAGAUAAUUUAAUUAAAAUUUGUUUGAAACAGAAAUGUAAACAAAACACGCGCAUGCGCAGAACGGACUUGACAGCCUCUUUAAAUCUUCAGUUUUGGGGAUUUAAUUUAUUCAAAUCUGGCAUAAAUUCGUUCGCAUUAUCAAAAUUUGAGACCAUUCUAAAAAUCUUUUGCUAUGUUACUCAUUCGACAACUAAAAUAUUGCGUCGAUUAUAGACAUUAUACAUUGUUUUUAUAGCUUUUGUUUGUCCCAACAUUCGAAAUAUAUGUGACUUUGAAUCAUGUGCUAUGGUGGGUUGUUAAUCGUGGCGGAACUGGAAUUUUAUAUUUUCCUGGUCACAACAAUCUUGGACAUAAAAAAUGUUAAAAUUUACCCAAACGUUAACAAUGUAUACAUAUUUAUGACGAGUUUUGAAAGGUUUGAAUGAAUUUCAUACAUGCGCAGUGUUUCGGUAUAUUUAUACAACCGGUCCCUGUAGAUUAGAAAAUAUGGUUUUAGCUGUAAAAAUAUUAUGUAAUUGUAAUGUAAUGCAUGAUGGUGUAAUGAAUGCAGUGUAUAAAGGCAGUAUGAAUAAACAUGGCAUGGUUCGACAUUCGGUUACAUUAAGACAUUUUCUUGACAAUGGACUGAAAAAACGAAAUUUUCCCAUUGAUAAUUACCGACUGCAACCGACUGUAUGACUAAGUAAACAGGGCUUGCGGAAAAGGUUUGGCGCUAGUCGUCAAAUUAAUGGCCAUUUUCAGAUAAAAAUUCCAAAUUUAUGUUGCACUUGACGAGUCAGUGUUUUCCGUCCCGGCAAAAUGACAAAAAUAAGGAGCGCAAGCUCGUUGUAAGAUCCGAAAUUCUGUGGACAUUUCUCUCCUGUAGAAAGACAGCCUUUAAUUCUUGCUGCCUUUUCCGCUAUUCAGACGAAUCUUGAAAACACCGUCUGAAAUUAUAGUCAAACUAUAAUAUACGCUUGUUUGUUUAUUUAUUAUACAUAAUAUAGUUCUGUUUAUUCAUUAUACAUAUAAUAUGUUCUCCCAUAGUAGGUAUUACUAUUUAAUUAACAAGUUUCAAUUAUUUUAUUACUAUUUAGGCGAC